CUGGGGCCCCUGAAGACCCGAAUCCAGUUUGUAUUCCAUACGAUGUCCUCAGAACUUGGCACAUGCUUGGACCAGAAGGGACACUUGAGCAACAGGAGUUGUAAAUAUCCAGUGAGCACUUGCUCCACCAAGCACUGAGCUGGGUGCUUCCAGGAACCACCUCUAGUCUCCAUAGCAACUAAGAGCAUUGUUCGCCUCAUCCUACAGUGAGGCCAUGAUAGAGCAAGGCUACAGGUGCCAGGGUUCCGGCACUGCACAUGGAGAAGGAAGUGUGCCGAGACAUCCCCAGACCCUCCCCAUCUCAGUCCAGAUACAAGAUCUACAAAUACUUAGGACUGACUGUACCAUAAGACGGAAUAUUAUUCAGCCAUAAACAGGAAUGAAGUACUGGUGCACGCUGCAGUGUGGAGGAGCCGCAAGAACAUUAUGCAGAGUGUAAGAAGCCAGACAGGAGUAGGGAGAGCACAGAGGACAAUGUGGAAGAUUUUUUCAAACCAGGACUCAAAACAGACCACACUACUCUCACCCACAUACCAUUGACUGGGGCAUCUUCAUAAAGGCACCCACACCUCACUGCAAACAAGGCUUGAAAUGUGGUCCAGUAGGGUGCCCAGGAGGAGGAGGAGGAGGAGGAGGAGGAAUGAGACAAAUGCUAUCAAGGAAAUAAAGGCGGUAUCAAGACUGGGAGUACUAAUUCAUAUUGGGAUAACUAAUUCAUAUUGAGUGGCCAGGUCAAGACUGUUUGAGGACGUGGGAUUUGGGCUGAGAUCUGAAGAGGAAUUAGACAGCUAUUCAAAUUUCUGGGGAAGAGUGUUCUAGAAUCAAUGGAAAACAAGGACAAACCUCAGCAGUGGGACUUUGCUAUGGUUUAAAUGUGUCCCUCAGGAGCUCCUACGUUGGGAACAUGAUGCCACUGUGACAGUGUUAGCCCUCAUGAAUAGAUUAAUGUUGCUAUCAUGGAAGUAAAUGUAAAAGUUUGGCCCCUGUUUUUCUCUGUCUUGCCUCCUAUCUCCCUUCUGCCUUCUGCCUUCUGCCUUCUACUUUGGAAUAACCCUCACCAGAUCCCAGCGCAAUGCCCUUGGACUUCCCAGCCUCCAGAACUGUAAGAAAUAAACCUCUUUUCCUUAUAAAUUAUCCAGUCCGUGGUAUUCUUUUAUAGCAACAGAAACUUGAGUAAGACAAUCAUAGUUUGGUGUGUUCAGGGAACAAGAAAUAGGUCAGUGUGACUGGUGUCUGGUAAGCCAAAGAGAGGAUGAUUUGGGGUGAGAUCAGAGAGGCAGGCAGUGGUCAGAUCAUGCAGGUUCCCACAGGCUCCAGGAGGGGCAUUUAGGUCUUAAUUUUAAGUGCUAUGGGAAGCCACUGCAGGAUUUAAAGCAAGGGAGUACUAGUAUCUGAGCUGUGUUUUUCAAAUAUCCUGAUUCCAAGGGCCAAGGAAACCUUCACAGGUAUCUGAGUUAUAUGGCCACCAUUUCAAUCCAUCCUCACAACAGCUUAAAAAGAGAUAAUACUGGGCUUUUUCAUGACUAUGAAGACAUGGAGGGUUAGAAGGAGACUAUAAUCACACAUGACCUUGGCACAGCCAAGUCUGAUUUCAGAUCCAAGCCCAAGAGAGGAAAUGUGGUUGAGAACAGAAACCAAAGCUCCAUCAGGAUCCAAGGGUGGAGAAAUGCCCACAGGGGUAUUGCUGAAGACCCAAAGGCUGGCAGCAUGAGAACCUCCCCACCUGGAGGCCCAAAGGUGCACCCUGCCUUCCUGAGGGAGGGGUCUCCAGUGCCUACUCCCUGAGCCAUGGGAAGAGAGCCCCAAGUAAGAAGUCUGGGGUGCCUGUGCUUUUAGGUCAUUGGGAAGCUGGGUGACCUUUGGGACAAAGGGUCUGUCCAUGAUCACUGCAGAGAGAGCUCCAGCCACUGUGAUUUGCUAAAUAAUGGCCCCCAUGUCCUAAUCUCCAGAACCUGGGAAUAGGUUACCCUACAUAGCAAAAGGGGUUUUGCAGAUGUGAUUAAAUUAAGGAUCUCAAGGUGGAGAUGCUACCCUCGAUUACCUGAGUGGGCCCAAUGUCAUCACAAGGGUCCUUAUCAGAGGGAGGCAGAUAAGGAGAUGUAAUGAUGGAGUGAUGUGGGGCCCGAGUCAAAGAAUGAUGGCAGCCCCCAGAAGCUGGAAGGAGCAAGGAAAUGGAUUCCCCUCUGGCGCCUCCAGAACAAAUGCAGUCCUGCCUCAAUUUAAGCCCAUGGAGAUGCAUUUUCGGUUUCUGACCUCUAGAACUUUACAAUAACAAAUUCUUGUUGUUUUAAGCCACCGAGUUUGUGGUUAUUUGCAACAAUCCUCAUAGCAAACUCACACACCCACCAACCAAGACAGUGACUGGGGGAAAAUCCAGAGCUUUUUUUAGUUGCUGUUUGUUUCCCCUGGCAGUUAUUCUUCUUCCCCUGUCUCUGUUUCUCCACAAAAAUUAUUCAUGGAAAUUUUGAAGCCAAGAACACUAGUGGGCUUAUCUUGGGGGUGCCAAAGAAUGUCACCAGUGCCCCUGACUUUGAUCCAGCCUGAGGACCAAAGCAGUGGUGGUAGCUGAAACCCUGAGUCCAGUGGGAGAGAAGAGAGUCAAGCCCUCUAGAUGUCCCUGAGGAAGGCAGGAGGAAAGCGCAUUUCCCCAUUUCCCCUCAGUAAGCCACAUCGGGUCAGAGGAAGCAGUACUCAGGGACAGCUUUCCUAAAAUCCUCCAGCAAUGGGGCCUUUAAGAGGCUCUGGGAGUUGGCACCAACGUCAAGGGCUCCUUUCCACUGCCAGGUUUUCAGAUUCCUGAUGAGUGAGGCCUAGCAAACAAGCCCAGCCUUUGAUGCUUGGCCACCUUGGCAGAGGGGUUGUUUUGGCCCCUCCAUGGCUGCUGGGCAGCUGGUAAGCCUGGAAGGCAGGGCCUUGGUUAAUCAGCAAGGCUCUUGUUUGUCUGGCUUGGCCUUUUGGUGACUUACCACCCUUUGGCCUAUAUAUGAGAGUUUGUGAUAUCAGCAUUUAGUGCAAUGUAAUGAGUAACCAGGGUCUGGAGGCUUCUAUACCUGCCUUUUAUAAACACAGCUGAUUAGCCUUAAUCUCCCUGGGGACUUGGAGCUCAGGGUUGGGGAUGGGGGUGCAGGGGUAAAUUCGACACGAUUGAGGACUUGUAGUUUCCUCUGGGGACAGGGUCCUGAGCCCUGAGCCAGCUAGCCUUGGAUUCAAGUCCCAGCUUUCCUUAUCUGCUGUGGGGUGGAAAUGUCAACCAGCCUCUUAGCGCCUCCACUUCCAUCUCUGCAAGAGACGUGCCUUUGUCCACUCAGUGAAUACUUAUUAACCAUAAACUCUACAACCUGUGUUAAGGGAUAUAUGAUAUAAUGGAGCAAAGUACAUGAGAGAUUUUCUUUUUUUUUUUUUUAGCACUAGUUAAGUAUUCAAUAAUUGAAAAUCUUCCUCUGAGUCUGUGGGUGUAGAUGAAGGUGGUGAGAGUUUUCUCCCAAGGGCUCCCAGAGACACAGGGCCUCUAACAGAGAAGUGUAGAGUGGCUGGGGGCAUGCUGAAGGUGAGAGUAGUAGUGCAUUCCCAGUGAGAUCAGGUUGGGCUUUGCGUCCCGAUCAGCAUGUGGCACGAGGCAAGGUGCUCAGGCUCAGGCAUCCCUGAUGUACAUCCUCCAGCAAGUGACCCAGUGUCUCCGAGCCUCAAUGUUCUCAUCUCUAAAAAGAGGGUGAUUAGUUAUGCCUCCCAGUGUUACCAGAAAGGGGUCCAGAUCCAGACCCCAAGAGAAGGUUCUUGGAUCUCACUCAAGACAGAAUU